UACAGAGGGUGCGAGCGUUUGUUCGGAAUUAUUGGGCGUAAAGGGCGCGUAGGCGGUGCGGUAAGUCACCUGUGAAAUCUCCUGGCUCAACUGGGAGCUUGCAGGCGAAACUGCCGUGCUGGAGUGUGGGAGGAGGUGCGUGGAAUUCCUGGUGUAGCGGUGAAAUGCGUAGAUAUCAGGAGGAACACCAGUGGCGAAAGGGCGGCC
rnacentral:rRNA from 1 species